GGCCCAGACUCCUACGGGAGGCAGCAGUGGGGAAUAUUGCACAAUGGGCGAAAGCCUGAUGCAGCGACGCCGCGUGAGGGAUGACGGCCUUCGGGUUGUAAACCUCUUUCAGCAGGGACGAAGCGAAAGUGACGGUACCUGCAGAAGAAGCACCGGCCAACUACGUGCCAGCAGCCGCGGUAAUACGUAGGGUGCAAGCGUUGUCCGGAAUUAUUGGGCGUAAAGAGCUCGUAGGCGGCUUGUCGCGUCGGCUGUGAAAACCUGGGGCUCAACCCCGGGCCUGCAGCCGAUACGGGCAAGCUAGAAUUCGGUAGGGGAGACUGGAAUUCCUGGUGUAGCGGUGAAAUGCGCAGAUAUCAGGAGGAACACCGGUGGCGAAGGCGGGUCUCUGGGCCGAUAUUGACGCUGAGGAGCGAAAGCGUGGGGAGCAAACAGGAUUAGAUACCCUGGUAGUCCACGCCGUAAACGUUGGGCGCUAGGUGUGGGCCACAUUCCACGUGGUCUGUGCCGCAGCUAACGCAUUAAGCGCCCCGCCUGGGGAGUACGGCCGCAAGGCUAAAACUCAAAGGAAUGA
rnacentral:rRNA from 1 species